rnacentral:rRNA from 1 species
UACGGAGGGGGCUAGCGUUGUUCGGAAUUACUGGGCGUAAAGCGCACGUAGGCGGCUUUGUAAGUUAGAGGUGAAAGCCCGGGGCUCAACUCCGGAAUUGCCUUUAAGACUGCAUCGCUAGAAUUGUGGAGAGGUAAGUGGAAUUCAGAGUGUAGAGGUGAAAUUCGUAGAUAUUCGGAAGAACACCAGUGGCGAAGGCGACUUACUGGACACAUAUUGACGCUGAGGUGCGAAAGCGUGGGGAGCAAACAGG